UGUACAUAGUAAAAGAAAUAGAUUAAUGAUACACCUAAUGACUUUCUUUAUCGGCGUGCAAACAUCUUGACAUACGUCACAUAUGCUACCAUAAACUGCAGAUUGCUUCAGAUCAAGAUAUUUUACAAGUUACAUAAUAACGCUGUAAGACUCAAAGUACGAAAAUGUUUACGAAAAUAAAUUUGAAAUGAACAAAUUGUAUUCAUAAUUUUUCGAUAUGGCUAAAGAAGAUGCUAUUAAAGUAAUAUACACCAGAAUUUUCUUUUUUUUAUAGAUAUAUUUUAAUAACUAAGAACAUAUGAUAUACUUUUAUCAAAACUUUCAAGAGUAUAAUCAUUGUUAUUUUAUUUAUGAUUUUGAUAGA